GAACUGGAGAGUUUGAUCCUGGCUCAGAUUGAACGCUGGCGGUAGGCCUAACACAUGCAAGUCGAACGGUAACGGACCGCUGGGAUUCCUUCGGGAUGACCUUGGUGCCGACGAGUGGCGGACGGGUGAGUAACACGUAGGAAUCUGCCAAACAGUGGGGGACAACCCGGAGAAAUCCGGGCUAAUACCGCAUACGCCCUACGGGGGAAAGCGGGGGAUCUUCGGACCUCGCGCUGUUGGAGGAGCCUGCGUCGGAUUAGUUUGUUGGUGAGGUAACGGCUCACCAAGGCGACGAUCCGUAGCUGGUCUGAGAGGAUGAUCAGCCACACUGGGACUGAGACACGGCCCAGACUCCUACGGGAGGCAGCAGUGGGGAAUAUUGCACAAUGGGCGAAAGCCUGAUGCAGCCAUACCGCG
rnacentral:rRNA from 1 species